AGCACGUACAUUACUCACUAAAUUUAAUUCUUAAACUAGGAAAGUAUAAUGUCAGCCCCAACAGUACCCCAUGUUCUGGCACUUUGCUUCUGAGCAUGGGGACCCAGAUCCCUGGGCUGCAGCCCCAGGACUGGCCCAGCCCGAGUCUCCUUGGCCCCCCUCCCGGUGAGGACUGCUCCUUGUUUUGGAGCUCAGAGCCUGGCUCUGAGUUGUCCCAGCCACUCUCUGUUCCCUCCCUGUCAAGCCCUGCAGGCUGAAUCCUCACGCUGCGUGGUGGCCCGAAGUGGCCCAGCUGUGAGGAGCCAUCGUGAGGAAUAAUGUUUGUUUAAUACGGAGAGCGCUGGCAUCACACAGUCUGCAGGCUGCACCCCGGGCAGAGAGGAGAGGGAAGACAGCCGAAGACUUCAGGCCCAGCUCUUUAAAACUUGUUCUGGGAGCCCACCUGAGACCUCGCAGGGGACAUACACGGCUCAUCUCACCAGGCGGGAGGAGAACUCGUCCCACUUAAGGGAGGCUCUCAGGUGCUGCAGACGUGACCUGCCCUGCGGUUCAGGGUGGGGCAGGCCCUGAUCACAGAGAGCUAAAAGCAGGACUCAGCGAUCGAGUGCACCUGCGAUCAUGGCAGCCAGAGGCGGGAGCAGCCCGUGUCCCCAGCAGACGGACAAACAUGGGUGGUCUGUAAAUGAUCUGGAGCUUCACUCGGCCUCAGAAGGAGGGAAAUUCUGGUGCUGCUACAACACGGAUGCCCCUGAGGACUUACGGGCAGUGCGUGAGCCAGCCACAGAAAGGCAAGCGCUGGGGACUCUGCUCACACCAGGGCCCCAAGCGGGCGAAAGGGAAGAAGAAGAAGCAUGAAGUGACCUAAACCAUGUCCCGGGAGAAGAGGCCAAAGGACCUGGGAUGUUGAAAGUGAAGGAAGGAAGAAAUGAAUGAAUGAAUGAGUGAGUGAAAGACAAGCGAAGGGACCGUUGGGGGACCCUGACCACUGUCCCCCUUCCACUGCAGCAAGAGCCCUGCAUGUGCAGAGCUCGGACGGGGCCCAGGCGUGGGCGCUUCCAACCCCUCCCCCUGGCUGUGGGAGGGCCCCAGCUGUGGGAGGGCCCCAGCUGUGGGAGG